rnacentral:rRNA from 1 species
UCCCAGACUCCUACGGGAGGCAGCAGGGGGGAAUAUUGGGCAAUGGGCGCAAGCCUGACCCAGCAACGCCGCGUGAAGGAAGAAGGCUUUCGGGUUGUAAACUUCUUUUAAGAGGGAAGAGCAGAAGACGGUACCUCUUGAAUAAGCCACGGCUAACUACGUGCCAGCAGCCGCGGUAAUACGUAGGUGGCAAGCGUUGUCCGGAUUUACUGGGUGUAAAGGGCGUGCAGCCGGGAAGACAAGUCAGAUGUGAAAUCCCGCGGCUCAACCGCGGAACUGCAUUUGAAACUGUUUUUCUUGAGUACCGGAGAGGUCAUCGGAAUUCCUUGUGUAGCGGUGAAAUGCGUAGAUAUAAGGAAGAACACCAGUGGCGAAGGCGACUUUCUGGACUGUACCUGACGCUGAGGCGCGAAAGCGUGGGUAGCGAACGGGAUUAGAUACCCUGGUA